rnacentral:rRNA from 1 species
UACGAAGGGGGCUAGCGUUGUUCGGAAUUACUGGGCGUAAAGCGCACGUAGGCGGAUCGUUAAGUGAGGGGUGAAAUCCCAGGGCUCAACCCUGGAACUGCCUUUCAUACUGGCGAUCUUGAGUUCGAGAGAGGUGAGUGGAAUUCCGAGUGUAGAGGUGAAAUUCGUAGAUAUUAGGAAGAACAGCAGUGGCGAAGGUGGCUUACUGGUCCGGUACUGAUGUUGAGGUGCGUAAGCGUGGGGAGCAAACAGG